AUUUUAUCUAUUUCAGCCAGUGAUAUAAGAACAAAUGUCCUGUCUGUUUUUAUCAGUGUAAUUUAUGAUAUGUCCUCUCUCUAAGGAUGACACAUUAAGUGGAUUUUAGGAGGAGAGAAUUGAAAUAGCUGCUUUGUGUAGUACACAUAUUGAUCUGGUAUGUUACUAUCUUCAGUCACAGUGACCCUCAC